UACGUAGGUGGCAAGCGUUGUCCGGAAUUAUUGGGCGUAAAGCGCGCGCAGGCGGCCUCUUGAGUCUGAUGUGAAAGCCCCCCGGCUCAACCGGGGAGGGCCAUUGGAAACUGGGAGGCUUGAGUAUAGGAGAGAAGAGUGGAAUUCCACGUGUAGCGGUGAAAUGCGUAGAGAUGUGGAGGAACACCAGUGGCGAAGGCGACUCUUUGGCCUAUAACUGACGCUGAGGCGCGAAAGCGUGGGGAGCAAACAGGG
rnacentral:rRNA from 1 species